rnacentral:rRNA from 1 species
GUGCAGCAGGCGCGGAACCUCCGCAAUACACGAAAGUGUGACGGGGUUACCCAAAGUGUUCAAUUUUGAACUGUGGUAGGUGAGUAAUGUCCCCUACUAGAAAGGAGAGGGCAAGGCUGGUGCCAGCCGCCGCGGUAAAACCAGCUCUUCAAGUGGUCGGGAUAAUUAUUGGGCUUAAAGUGUCCGUAGCCGGUUUAGUAAGUUCCUGGUAAAAUCGGGUAGCUUAACUAUCUGCAUGCUAGGAAUACUGCUAUACUAGAGGACGGGAGAGGUCUGAGGUACUGCAGGGGUAGGGGUGAAAUCUUAUAAUCCUUGUAGGACCACCAGUGGCGAAGGCGUCAGACUGGAACGUGCCUGACGGUGAGGGACGAAAGCCAGGGGAGCGAACCGGAUUAGAUACCCCUGUAGUCC